CCUACGGGUGGCAGCAGUGAGGAAUAUUGGUCAAUGGGCGGAAGCCUGAACCAGCCAAGUCGCGUGAGGGAUUAAGGCCCUGCGGGUCGUAAACCUCUUUUGCCGGGGAGCAGAGGUCCGGACGUGUCCGGGCCGGGAGAGUACCCGGAGAAAAAGCAUCGGCUAACUCCGUGCAAGCAGCCGCGGUAAUACGGAGGAUGCGAGCGUUAUCCGGAUUUAUUGGGUUUAAAGGGUGCGUAGGCGGGCAUUUAAGCCGGCGGUCAAAUGUCGGGGCUCAACCCCGGCGAGCCGUUGAAACUGGCUGUCUUGAGAUGUCGAGAGGUAUGCGGAAUGCGCAGUGUAGCGGUGAAAUGCUUAGAUAUUGCGCAGAACUCCGAUUGCGAAGGCAGCAUACCGGCGGCGAUCUGACGCUGAGGCACGAAAGCGUGGGUAUCGAACAGGAUUAGAUACCCUUGUAGUC
rnacentral:rRNA from 1 species